GUUUUUAUUGACAAAUUUAUUUGAUUUUUGCUUGCAUAUUUAGAUAUUUAUUUUGCUUAAUGUAAAAGCAUAUGAAGACAAAUGAAAUAUUUCGCACUGCGGUAAUUUCUUUGCUUAAUUUGCUAUACAGCUACGAUGAAAUGAAUUAAAAAACACGCCGUUUUGGAUAUUUAUAACCCUGAUGAAGACGAAUACAUACAAAUUUGUAUUUGCGUUUGACAAAAAAAUGGUUUUAUGCUAAAAUGUUGUAGAUGACGGAUCAAUUUAUGUUGAACCAUUGUGGAUUUUUUACCUGACGUCAUUUUAUUCGAACAAUAAUCUAUGUUCAAAAUUGUUUCCAUUCUAAACAACAAUAAAUAAAUUUCGACUUUGGUUUGGUCAGAUAGUUUGUAAGUUAUGUAAAUACUUAUGUACGUAAAUAUUAUAUCAGGAACAGCAAAUAAUUGGAGCACCAUAUACUAUAUAAUUCAUCAUAAUUUGUUAAGCAAAAAAGGCAUAUUUUUAAUAACUUAAAAACACCAUUUCAUAGCAUACAGUUAUAUUACGUAAGAUUAAGCUCUUCAAUAACCAUGAGUUGUGUUCAAAAUAAAGAGGUUGUAUGCAAUAAAAAGAACAAGAUGAGCUUUUUUUUUAUAAUUUUAUAUAUUACGUAUAUACGUAAGUUCCGUUCCCACGACAUUGAAUACUACGUAAGCGGAAAUAUUAAUACAAAGCAGGACUGCUAAAUCGACUGUUUUCUUCAGAACUGUUUAUGCAAUCAGGAAUAUUUAGAUCGA